GACGUAGGGCGCGAGCGUUGUCCGGAUUUAUUGGGCGUAAAGGGCUCGUAGGCGGUUUGUCGCGUCGGGAGUGAAAACCUUGGGCUUAACUCAGGGCUUGCUUUCGAUACGGGCAGACUAGAGGUAUGCAGGGGAGAACGGAAUUCCUGGUGUAGCGGUGAAAUGCGCAGAUAUCAGGAGGAACACCGGUGGCGAAGGCGGUUCUCUGGGCAUGAUCUGACGCUGAGGAGCGAAAGUGUGGGGAGCGAACAGG
rnacentral:rRNA from 1 species